UACAGAGGGUGCAAGCGUUAAUCGGAAUUACUGGGCGUAAAGCGUGCGCAGGCGGUGAUGUAAGACAGAUGUGAAAUCCCCGGGCUCAACCUGGGAACUGCAUUUGUGACUGCAUCGCUGGAGUACGGCAGAGGGGGAUGGAAUUCCGCGUGUAGCAGUGAAAUGCGUAGAUAUGCGGAGGAACACCGAUGGCGAAGGCAAUCCCCUGGGCCGAUACUGACGCUGUAGAGCGAAAGCGUGGGGAGCGAACAGG
rnacentral:rRNA from 1 species